rnacentral:rRNA from 1 species
AGAGUUUGAUCAUGGCUCAGGACGAACGCUGGCGGUGUGCCUAAUACAUGCAAGUCGAGCGACGCAUAUCGGAGGGGUAACCCACUGGUAUGACGGAGCGGCGAACGGGUGCGUAACACGUGAGCAACCUGCCCCACAGACCGGGAUAGCCCGAGGAAACUCGGAUUAACACCGGAUACCCUCACCGGACCGCAUGCCUGGUGAGGAAAGACUUUUGUGCUGUGGGAUGGGCUCGCGGUCUAUCAGCUAGUUGGUGAGGUAACGGCUCACCAAGGCAACGACGGGUAGCUGGUCUGAGAGGAUGAUCAGCCACACUGGAACUGAGACACGGUCCAGACUCCUACGGGAGGCAGCAGUAGGGAAUCUUGCGCAAUGGGCGAAAGCCUGACGCAGCAACACCGCGUGAGGGAUGACGGCCUUCGGGUUGUAAACCUCUUUCAGGAGGGACGAAAAUGACGGUACCUCCAGAAGAAGCCCCGGCCAACUACGUGCCAGCAGCCGCGGUAAUACGUAGGGGGCAAGCGUUGUCCGGAAUCAUUGGGCGUAAAGAGCUCGUAGGCGGCUCAGUAAGUCGAUCGUGAAAUACCGGGGCUCAACCCCGGGAGGUCGGUCGAUACUGCUGUGGCUUGAGUCCGGUAGAGGAAGGUGGAAUUCCCGGUGUAGCGGUGGAAUGCGCAGAUAUCGGGAGGAACACCAGUAGCGAAGGCGGCCUUCUGGGCCGGCACUGACGCUGAGGAGCGAAAGCGUGGGUAGCAAACAGGAUUAGAUACCCUGGUAGUCCACGCCGUAAACGAUGGAUACUAGGUGUGGCGGAUCGUCAACGACUGCCGUGCCGAAGCUAACGCAUUAAGUAUCCCGCCUGGGGAGUACGGCCGCAAGGCUAAAACUCAAAGGAAUUGACGGGUCCCCGCACAAGCGGCGGAGCAUGCGGCUUAAUUCGAUGCAACCCGAAGAACCUUACCUGGCCUUGACAUAAUGGGUCUACCCGUGGAAACACGGGGUGCUUUGCGCCCAUUACAGGUGGUGCAUGGCUGUCGUC